GGGAGUAACAGAGGGAAACGUUACUGAUAAUAACUGGAGUAAGUUAGUAUAUCGCAUGAUAUGCAAAAUGAAAGCUACGGCACUAAAGGAGAGCUUUGCGUCCUAUUAGCUAGUUGGUAAGGUAAGAGCUUACCAAGGCGAUGAUAGGUAGCCGGCCUGAGAGGGUGGACGCCACAAGGGGGACUGAGAUACGGCCCUUACUCCUACGGGAGGCAGCAGCU
rnacentral:rRNA from 1 species